rnacentral:rRNA from 1 species
UACAGAGGUCUCAAGCGUUGUUCGGAUUCAUUGGGCGUAAAGGGUGCGUAGGCGGCGGGGCAAGUCAGGUGUGAAAUCCCGGGGCUCAACCCUGGAACUGCACUUGAUACUGCUUUGCUAGAGUACUGGAGAGGAGAUUGGAAUUACGGUGUAGCAGUGAAAUGCGUAGAUAUCGUAAGGAAGACCAGUGGCGAAGGCGAAUCUCUGGACAGUUACUGACGCUGAGGCACGAAGGCCAGGGAGCAAACGGG